ACKGCUCAGUAACACGUGGCUAAUCUGCCCUUGGGACCGGAACACCCCCGGGAAACUGGGGCUAAUUCUCGAUAGGUGAAGAACCCUGGAAUGAGUCUUUGCCAAAUAGGUACUUGCGUUAUGCUCGUAAGUGUCGCCCAAGGAUGAGGCCGCGACCGAUCAGGUUGUUGGUGAGGUAAUGGCUCACCAAGCCUUUUACCGGUGCGGGCCGUGAGAGCGGGAGCCCGGAGAUGGGCACUGAGACAAGGGCCCAGGCCCUACGGGGCGCAGCAGUCGCGAAAACUUUGCAAUAAGCGAAAGCUUGACAGGGCUAUCCCGAGUGCCAUCCGCUGAGGAAGGCUUUUACCCAGUCUAGAACGCUGGGGGAAUAAGGAGAGGGCAAGUCUGGUGUCAGCCGCCGCGGUAAUACCAGCUCUCCGAGUGGUGUGGAUGUUUAUUGGGCCUAAAGCAUCCGUAGCUGGCUAAGUUAGUCCCUUGUUAAAUCCACCGAAUUAAUCGUUGGAUUGCGGGGGAUACUGCUUGGCUAGGGGACGAGAGAGGCAGACGGUAUUUCCGGGGUAGGGGUGAAAUCCUAUAAUCCCGGGAAGACCACCAGUGGCGAAGGCUGUCUGCUAGAACGCGCCCGACGGUGAGGGAUGAAAGCUGGGGGAGCGAACCGGAUUAGAUACCCGGGUAGUCCCAGCUGUAAACGAUGCAGGCUAGGUGUUUGGACGGCCACGUGCCGUUCUAGUGCCGCAGGGAAGCUGUUAAGCCUGCCGCCUGGGGAGUACGAUCGCAAGAUUGAAACUUAAAGGAAUUGGCGGGGGAGCAC
rnacentral:rRNA from 1 species